rnacentral:rRNA from 1 species
AGUAUAAACUGCUUAUACUGUGAAACUGCGAAUGGCUCAUUAAAUCAGUUAUAGUUUAUUUGAUGGUACCUCUACACGGAUAACCGUAGUAAUUCUAGGGCUAAUACGUGCGCAAAUCCCGACUUCUGGAAGGGACGUAUUUAUUAGAUAAAAGGCCGACCGGGCUCUGCCCGACCCGCGGUGAACCAUGAUAACUUCACGAAUCGCAUAGCCUUGUGCUGGCGAUGUUUCAUUCAAAUUUCUGCCCUAUCAACUUUCGAUGGUAGGAUAGAGGNCUACCAUGGUGGUAACGGGUGACGGAGGAUUAGGGUUCGAUUCCGGAGAGGGAGUCUGAGAAACUGCUACCACAUCCAAGGAAGGCAGCAGGCACGCAAAUUACCCAAUCCCAGAACUCUGGGGAGGUAGUGACGAAAAAUAACGAUGCGGGCGCUCCUUCUGGAGCCCCGCAAUCGGAAUGAGUAUGUCUUAAAUAACCUGUCGAGAACCCACUGAAGGGCAAGUCUGGUGCCAGCAGCCGCGGUAAUUCCAGCUUCAGUAGCAUCUAUUAAAGUUGCUGCGGUUAAAAGGCUCGCAGUUGGAGCCACUGGUGUUUGGUAUAUGGAGCAGCUGGACGUUGGGUACCUCGUGUCCCCGUCCUGUUGUCUGCUCCUGACUCUAUGGCACUGAAUAUGGGAAAGCCUCGCGCGGCUUGGGCGAUUUGCUCAGAGGUGUUGGUGUUGGACGUUUUGAGGGUUUAUCUCUCUUUUCGUUUCAAGCCCCCUCUGUGUCCUUGCUUGCGCGGGGUGGCUCCUGUGUCACCUUGAGUAAAUCAUGGUGCUCACAGCAGUCGUGCGGGCCUCGUGCCCUGUGAACAGUCUUUGCGGACUGAAUUGGUUUUGCAAGGCAUGACGAAACAUGACGUCGCUGCUGGUCGCGGGCGGAGGAAGAUUUGUGUGCUCCGGCGCGCAUUCUCUCUUACCGGUGUGUUUAUGCCAGCAGCGACGUAAUGAUCAAUGGAGACGGUAGCUGGCAUUGGUAUUGCGCGGCGAGAGGUGAAAUUCUGCGACCCCCGCAAGACCUCCUAAAGCGAAGGCGUCUGCCAAGGACGUGUUCACCAAUCAUGAACGAAAGUCAGAGGAUCGAAGGCGAUCAGAUACCGCCCUAGUUCUGACCCUAAACGAUGCCAACCAUCAAUCCGCGUGAGCACCCUAUCUAACGGGCUCGGCGGGCAGCUCCCCACUACCGGGAAACCAGAGUUUAUGGGUUCCGGGGGGAGUCUGGUUGCAAAGCUGAAACUUAAAGGAAUUGACGGAAAGGCACCACCAGGCGUGGAGCCUGCGGCUUAAUUUGACUCAACACGGGCCAUCUUACCAGGCCAGCACUCUGGCAUGAUUGACAGAUUGAGAGCUCUUUCUCGAUUCAGUGGACGGUGGUGCAUGGNCGUUCUUAUCUGNUGGGCUGCCNUGCNNNGACNAUUCCGGUGACGAACGAGACCUNAGCUUACUAAAUAGUCACGUUCGCUUCUUGCNGAUGGCCGACUUCNUANAGGGACUAUUGAUGUUUAAUCCAUGGANCUAUGAGGCAAUAACAGGUCUGUGAUGCCCUUAUAUGUUCUGGGCCGCACUNGCGCUACACUGACGCAUUCAACAAGCCUAUCNUUA